CAGUAGCCGCGGGAAUACGAAGGGUGCAAGCGUUAAUCGGAAUUACUGGGCGUAAAGCGCGCGUAGGUGGUUUGUUAAGUUGGAGGUGAAAUCCCCGGGCUCAACCUGGGAACUGCCUCCAAAACUGGCUGACUAGAGUACGGUAGAGGGUGGUGGAAUUUCCUGUGUAGCGGUGAAAUGCGUAGAUAUAGGAAGGAACACCAGUGGCGAAGGCGACCACCUGGACUGAUACUGACACUGAGGUGCGAAAGCGUGGGGAGCAAACAGGAUUAGAUACCCCUGUAGUCCCUGUCUCUUAUAC
rnacentral:rRNA from 1 species